GAGUGGCCUGUAAGUUAAAUGUUGUUUUACUGUGGCACCAUACAAGCUGCCAUGUAGUCACUUUUGCUCACACUUCCACUGUGUGUAGCUGCCUGGCCUUGACAUCCUCACACUCAUGUGGCUCCAUUGUGGCUGGGGCUUAAGAAUGUCAGUCCAUACUGUUCUCACAUCCACACUCCAGAGGAUACCCUCCAUUCAGAUUGAAUUCCUAGGUGUUGUUAGUUCAAAUGUUUAUGUUUAUGAGCAGCUCUCUAAAGAUAAAAAUGUCUUUUCUUUUUAAUUCCUCUUUUUUCAAAGGUUUUUUUAGACGCUGGGUAGUUAGUGCUUUGGUGAAUACACAAACAAUAUGAAAGAACUGGGGAUGUAACUCAGUGGUAGAGGCUUACCACUGAGCCUCUUACCACUGAGGUUGGUAGCAUAUGUAAGGCCCUGGGUUCCAUCCCCAGCAUCCAUCAGUCUCUCUCUCUCUCUCUCUCUCUCUCUCUCUCUCUCUCUCUCCCUCCCUCUUUUCUGGCUGUUAUACAAUGAACAAGUGCAACUGCUCUGAGUGUUUGGGGUGCUGUAUAGCACAGUGUUUAAGAGACUAGAUUACAGUUACAGCUUCUUUUCUCAUUACCUGUGUGAGCUCAAUACUUAAUUUAUAUAAAACCCUUGUUUAUUAUCACAUCUGUAAAAUGAUCCUAAGAAUACUAUAUAGGUGUUCUGGUAGGGAUAAAAAUUAAAAAAUGAGCUGGGCAUGUUGGUGCUAUCACACCUGUAACCUCUGCCAGGUGCUGCUUAGUGAAGGCACCAGCUGUAGAAAACAGACACAGACAUCCUGUCACACCAGCAUGUUCUCUGAAAUCACUGUCCUCUACAAGUACUGAUUUCCUGCAUUAGUUUUUCCUGUGUGUUUUUGUUAUUGCUUUUUUAAAUUUUAUUUUAUGUUUUGGCUGUAUGUAUAUCUGUGCACUAUGUGUGUAAAGCCAGAAGAGAGCAUUGGAUCCCCUGGAAACUGGAGUUACAGAUGUUGUGACCUGCCAUGUGGUUGCUGGGAAUUGAACCUAGGUCCUCUGGAGGAGCAGCCAGAGCUCAUUACUGUUGAGCCACCACUCUAGCCCAGGGUAGUGUCAACAUCAUCAUCCUUCUGUCUCAAGUGUUUGGAAUAUGGUUCCUGUAUUUGUUCUGGAAAAUAGUAGCACUGUAGCAGCCACAGUGUUCCACCUUGGAUCUCCUGGGAAGACACAGAGUCUCUGCAACAUAGAAUGUUCCAGGGCAAACGAACCUCCUUCCAGAAACCAGCAGGGUGACGCCUUGGUUUGCAAAGGCAGCUGUCUUACAGCUGGGGGCAUGUGCUAAAGCUCUGACACUAACCUCUCUGACAACCCACCUGCCUCAGAAACCACACAGGUCUGAUGAGUACAAGUAGGAAAACAGAGGAACUCAUUGGAAUGACUGCCACUGCCAUAUGAAACCACCACAAAAUGUACUGGUGGAUUGCUCUAUAGUCAGUAGAUAGAUCAAAGGAAUUUUUAUGGCAAGCUACACAGCUGUGGAUGAGAAAGGAAGACACGGCAAGACACUGGUAGAAUAAGGGAAAAGAGAAAAUGAGCAUAGAGCCCACAUGGCCUCAGCUGUCACUAGUGUAUAAGUGACUCAACCACGCUUUCAGGAACAUUUGCAGGCAGCUGCUUCUCAGAUUUGCCAGGCUGGCCCUCCUCCUUCCAUCUCAGAAAUCAUCUCCUCCCAGACGUGUUCCAUGUGUAAGUGUGAGCUCAACAGCACUGUGCCUCCUAAUCCACCUAAUCCCCAUCAGCUAGUCAUGGUGGGAGACCUCUCAUCUAUGUGUCAUGCCCAUGAUGAAGAGUCACUUACUGUGUACUGAUGCCGUCAACUGGGCCACCUCCAGGGAAGACCAUGAAUGAGCCUCACUCACACUACUGGGCCACUGUGCUUGUCCUACCCCGAGAAGACACACUGGACAACUUUACAUGGUGCCAGGGGUCUGCCUAAAAGCAAAGAAGGCAGCCUCUCUGCUUGCCCCAGUGUUCCAGAUAAACAGACUCGUGAGCUACAAGCUCAAAGCCUCUAUGGACAAGUGCUGUCUAAACUUUGGGUAUGGUGGGCCACAAAGAACCGCCUAUAGAAACAUAACCUCGGUCUUUCACAAGAGAAGCCUACAACCUUGCCAAGAAUAUAGCUACAUUACUAUGUCAUUUCAGAUUCUGAAACAUUCAGAGCCACUUUUAUAUCUAUUUUGAACCAUAAACAAUUCCUUGUUGAAAAUUAAAAAAAAACAAAUAAGGUCCAUUUUAAUUAUCUGAAAACUAAGCACUCAGUUCUUGGCAAGUCGAAUCUUCUUAAGGAAAAAAAAAUCUAAAAAUAUUUUGGCUGAAACCAUCAGAAGAAUUCUGUUGGAAAGCAAAAUGGUCACAUUUCUUUCUGACAUGACCCUUCUUGAACUGUGUUUCCGCAGUCCCACUCAAAUGUGGACUUCAGAGCAACAUGCUGUGUGUUAAGCACAGCUCUGAACUCAUUGCUCUGCUUUGCUGGCCCAGCCCACUGCACAUGGGUUCCCACUGUCCAUAUUCCUGUGUGGUUUCUGCCACUGCCAACAAGUUCAGUGAAAUGGGCCAUUCACAGUGGUAGGAUGGAAACCCCUGCCCUUGUUAUUCUUGUCCCUCAUGGUCUGUGGAAUACCAAAGCUGGUCUCCCAGUGGUAACCCCGGAGUCCUUGGUUUUCAGGAUUGACUGAAACACACCUUAGCAGUGAUUGUGCAAGCUGCCAAAUCAUACCUUGAAACAGAACACGAAACUGCCUUUAGGUUCAGUCCACAGAUGUUUACUCUCCAGUUGAGCAAGAAUUACUUCAGGUUUGAAAAUGUUCUGUUUCUGUGUUAUUUUACUCUUCAUUCUCUAGCCUACUUUUUCAUGAAUUAUAUUUGGGAAGGAAAAAGACACAGAGAACAUUUGAGGGAGGAGCUGAGAAAGCACAACCCAGAUUCAAACAGAGCAGAACAGAGUGCAUGCCCUGACAGGAAGCUGUGGGCUGCAUACUGCACCAAUCCUUCCCUUCUUCUUUUCAGGUUUGGAGCCAAUAUCUCAGGAAGAGAUUCAUAUCAUUACAGCCAUGUGACUCAAUCUGAAUACAUUAGAUUUCUUAAGGGGGCAAUAGCAAGGGAUUUAUUAUUAAAAUUAAACAUUUUUGCAGCACUGGGGAUGGAAUUGGAGCCAUGCUGGGCAAGUGGUAUACCACUGAGCCACAGUGCUGGCUGAAAGGUAAAAUAUGCACACAUUUCAAAUUCAUAAACUCAACUUAGACAAUGCUCAUAGCAAUAGUGGCAAAUAACAGUAUUACUCUCGGUUUUAGGAGCCACGAAGAAAUGUAGACAAUACUUUGAACAAUGCUAUGUAAGGCUAUGCAUGAGGCCAGUAGGCGGAGUGACCCUAAAAUGUUAAAUGACAAAACUUAAAGAAUGUUACUGAUAUGA